UUGCAUAUCUCUUAUAAUAUUAUUAGUAUUAGUAUUGUGCUUGAAAUUUUGCAUAAGAUUGUACUGGACAGAAAACUAACACUCAAUCCCUUCCAAUUUAGAUAUCAUUGUUUUGAAAAAGCAUAAUGUCAUACUCUACUAAUAAUCAUUAAUUAUUUUUUCUUUUAAAUAACAUAACUUGUUGUGUACCCUACAAGAUUAAGCAGAGUAGUUACUAGUACCAAAAAUACUAAUUUUAAAAAAUUAUUUUUCU
rnacentral:lncRNA from 1 species